GUUUGGGAAGACGCUGAGCGGCUUUGGCAUCAUUCGCCGCUCAAAUACGUCAAACACAUGCACACACCGCCCGUCACCGGAGCUAAUACCGGAUAACACCGAAGACCGCAUGGUCUUUGGUUGAAAGGCGGCCUUUGGCUGUCACUUGCGGAUGGGCCCGCGGCGCAUUAGCUAGUUGGUGAGGUAACGGCUCACCAAGGCGACGAUGCGUAGCCGGCCUGAGAGGGUGACCGGCCACACUGGGACUGAAACACGGCCCAGACUCCUACGGGAGGCAGCAGUAGGGAAUCUUCCGCAAUGGGCGAAAGCCUGACGGAGCGACGCCGCGUGAGCGAAGAAGGCCUUCGGGUCGUAAAGCUCUGUUGUGAGGGACGAAGGAGCGCCGUUCGAAGAGGGCGGCGCGGUGACGGUACCUCACGAGGAAGCCCCGGCUAACUACGUGCCAGCAGCCGCGGUAAUACGUAGGGGGCGAGCGUUGUCCGGAAUUAUUGGGCGUAAAGCGCGCGCAGGCGGUUCCUUAAGUCUGAUGUGAAAGCCCACGGCUCAACCGUGGAGGGUCAUUGGAAACUGGGGGACUUGAGUGCAGGAGAGGAGAGCGGAAUUCCACGUGUAGCGGUGAAAUGCGUAGAGAUGUGGAGGAACACCAGUGGCGAAGGCGGCUCUCUGGCCUGCAACUGACGCUGAGGCGCGAAAGCGUGGGGAGCAAACAGGAUUAGAUACCCUGGUAGUCCACGCCGUAAACGAUGAGUGCUAAGUGUUAGAGGGGUCACACCCUUUAGUGCUGCAGCUAACGCGAUAAGCACUCCGCCUGGGGAGUACGGCCGCAAGGCUGAAACUCAAAGGAAUUGACGGGGGCCCGCACAAGCGGUGGAGCAUGUGGUUUAAUUCGAAGCAACGCGAAGAACCUUACCAGGUCUUGACAUCCCCUGACAACCCAAGAGAUUGGGCGUUCCCCCUUCGGGGGGACAGGGUGACAGGUGGUGCAUGGUUGUCGUCAGCUCGUGUCGUGAGAUGUUGGGUUAAGUCCCGCAACGAGCGCAACCCUCGCCUCUAGUUGCCAGCACGAAGGUGGGCACUCUAGAGGGACUGCCGGCGACAAGUCGGAGGAAGGUGGGGAUGACGUCAAAUCAUCAUGCCCCUUAUGACCUGGGCUA
rnacentral:rRNA from 1 species